GACGAACGCUGGCGGCGUGCCUAAUACAUGCAAGUAGAACGCACAGUUUAUACCGUAGCUUGCUACACCAUAGACUGUGAGUUGCGAACGGGUGAGUAACGCGUAGGUAACCUGCCUGGUAGCGGGGGAUAACUAUUGGAAACGAUAGCUAAUACCGCAUAAUAUUGAUUAUUGCAUGAUAAUUGAUUGAAAGAUGCUAUUGCAUCACUACCAGAUGGACCUGCGUUGUAUUAGCUAGUAGGUGAGGUAACGGCUCACCUAGGCGACGAUACAUAGCCGACCUGAGAGGGUGAUCGGCCACACUGGGACUGAGACACGGCCCAGACUCCUACGGAGGCAGCAGUAGGGAAUCUUCGGCAAUGGACGAAAGUCUGACCGAGCAACGCCGCGUGAGUGAAGAAGGUUUUCGGAUCGUAAAGCUCUGUUGUAAGAGAAGAACGGGUGUGAGAGUGGAAAGUUCACACUGUGACGGUAUCUUACCAGAAAGGGACGGCUAACUACGUG
rnacentral:rRNA from 1 species